AAAAAAAAUUAUGUAUUAAUGAAGUCUCAAACAAUAAUUAAGAAUAUUCAUCAUAAUCAUUGAACAACAAUAUAAGCAAAGUAUGUGUAGUAGAAACUAUGACAAUUUGUUUCACCCAAAUUAUUACAAUGGAAAGUGACUAGUCAUCAAUCAUCAUCAUCAGUGCUAAGUACUUCAAUUUAGUUUUUGUAAAUCUCCAUGUCUGGAGAGAUACCUGUUUGAAAUAUUUGUUAUAACUAUAUAACUUGUCCUAGGUUAUAGUCAUUUCUUAUUUAAAAAUAAAAUGUAGAAAAGUCUAUUCUCUUUUAGGGCAAGAUUAAAGUAAGUGACCAAUGUUCUAUUUUUUCCCAACCAUUGGAAAGAAAAAGGUAUUUCUCAAUUCAUUAUCUCAACAAGCACAACUCUGAAGCUCUACAUGUCACUCUUUUUUGUAAACAUGUUUGAUUGAAAGUAGUCAGAUCAACAUAUCUUACAGUACCUAUAACCGCAGUUGUCAUGUGAGUUUGAUCAACGUGUAUCGACCAUGAGGUUCCGAAAUCCAAAACAUUAGCUCGGUAAUACUCAUCAAACAAGAUGUUUGAUGAUUGGACAUCUCUAUGAUAAAUCGGAGAUGCUGCAACAAAAUGGAGGUAUGACAAAGCUCCAGCUGUAUAUAUGACAAUAUGUAGACGUAACUCCCAUGUAAUCAAUGUGUGAUCAACCUCUUCAUGAAAAAGUUGAGAAAGAUUGUCGUUUGGGAUGAAUUCAUAAACAAGUAGAGGUACCUCUAUUUCAAGACAACAUCCUAAUAUAUUCAUGAUGUUGCGGUGGUUGAUCAGCGAGAGUAUGAAAACUUCAUUUAUGAACUCUUCGAUCUUAUUUUGUAAUUUUGAUACAUAGGCUUAGAUUUUUUUACCGCUACAAUUCUACCACCAUGAGGCAUUCUUUUGAAUAAUUCACUAUAAGAAAAAGGUUAAUUCCAACCGCCAUAUUAGUUGGUAAUUUGUAGGAAUUAUA
rnacentral:sRNA from 1 species